rnacentral:rRNA from 1 species
UAUCUCUGUAGAGUCUGCAUAUCAAUAAGCGGAGGAAAAGAAACUAACAAGGAUUCCCCUAGUAACGGCGAGUGAAGCGGGAAGAGCUCAAAUUUGAAAUCUUCAAGGUCUUACCUUGACGAAUUGUAGUUUAAAGAAGUGUUUUCGGUUAGAGGAGUAGUAAAAGUUCUUUGGAAUAGGACAUCAUAGAGGGUGAGAAUCCCGUAUUUGACUAUUCUUUCUAGCUUUGUGAUACACUUUCAAAGAGUCGGAUUGUUUGGGAAUGCAGUCCAAAAUGGGUGGUAAAUUUCAUCUAAAGCUAAAUAUUGGCGAGAGACCGAUAGCGAACAAGUACCGUGAGGGAAAGAUGAAAAGAACUUUGAAAAGAGAGUUAAACAGUACGUGAAAUUGUCAAAAGGGAAGCGUUUGACACCAGUGUUGUUUUUCCGAAAAUCAAUUAAAAAUUGAUUCAUGCCAGGUUGUAUUGACCUUAUCAGCUUGCAAUUUGGUUUUGGGUCUCUUUUUGAUGCACUUUUCGGUUAACGAGUCAACAUCAAUUUCCUUUGCUGUAAAAAGGUAAGAGGAAGGUGGCUUCAAUUUCGGUUGAAGUGUUUAUAGCCUUUUAUCUCUGCAGUCGGGGAGAUUGAGGUCUGCAGCGUAGAUCCUUCGGGGCUAGAUACAUUUAUGCUAAGUUAUAGCUUUUCAUAGACAACUUGUUGACUAUGUUUAGUCAUGUAGCUUACUCGUAAGUGCUAUUUUACCUACGCUUAGGAUGUUGAGCGCAUGUCUCUCUCU